rnacentral:rRNA from 1 species
AGAGAGAGACAUGCGCGCAUAUCAAUAAGCGGAGGAAAAGAAACUAACUAGGAUUCCCUCAGUAACGGCGAGUGAAGCGGGAAGAGCUCAAAUUUGAAAUCUUAAAGGUUUUCCCUUGACGAAUUGUAGUUUAAAGAAGUGUUUUCUGUUGAAGUUUUGGUAAAAGUUCUUUGGAAUAGGACAUCAUAGAGGGGUGAGAAUCCCGUAUUUGACCAUUAUUUCCAGCUUUGUGAUACACUUUCAAAGAGUCGGAUUGUUUGGGAAUGCAGUCCAAAAUGGGUGGUAAAUUUCAUCUAAAGCUAAAUAUUGGCGAGAGACCGAUAGCGAACAAGUAGCCGUGAGGGAAAGAUGAAAGGAACUUUGAAAAGAGAGUUAAACAGUACGUGAAAUUGUCAAAAGGGAAGCGUUUGACACCAGUGUUGUUUUCUUGAAAAUCAAUUAAAAAAGGCAGGAUUUUGUGUUGUAUUGACUUUAUCAGCUUUCUGCACUCUUUUCUUGUCUUUUUUUAAUGCACUUUUCGUUUAACAAGUCAACAUCAAUUUCUUUUGUUGUAAAAGGGUCAUUGGAAGGUGGCUUUCUUUCGGAGAAAGUGUUUAUAGCCUUUGGCCUCUGCAAUCGGAGAGAUUGAGGUCUGCAGCGUAGAUCCUUCGGGGUUAGAUACAUUUGUGCUAAGUUAUAGCCUUUCAUAGACAACUUGUUGACUAUGAUCAGUCAUGUAGCUUACUCGCUUAUGCUAUUUUACCUACGCUUAGGAUGUUGAUGUGAUACUGCGAGC